rnacentral:lncRNA from 1 species
CUGGUUCCACUUCUCCGCCGCUGCCCCACCGUCCAGGUCCAGCCCCACUCCCCCGUCACUCCUCCUACGUCCUCUGCAGGUGCUCCCCCAUCACUCCCCCUUCUCCUCCAUGGUCUACUGCAGGUUCUCUCCUCUCUCUGACCGCUGCUCCAUCCAUCAUCUUGGAACUGCAGGAGAAGAAUGUGUUAUGUUGGGCUCGGACUAUGUUGACAGCCAUCUUGGCCAGCAAGAGGAUGCUCACCUGCUUCGUCUUCCUCACCAGUCGGCUCUUAUUAACCAAUGAUGAUGUAUCUUCAAGGUAGAUUGAUUCUUCUUCUGGUGUUAAUUUUCUGUUGUGUUUGUUACAUAGCGGGCAGGCGACAAAUAGCCCACAAACCUUAUAGUUUUCCACCCUGCUUUCUUACCAGGGCAGACUGUGAACAAGUACUACAAAGAGGAUAUCUCUAAAUCAAGUCGCACGCCCACUAGAGAAAACCACAGGUACACCUUCUUUUGCCUUCUUUUCGUGUCACCCUUUCUUAUACUAAUCUGGGCCUAACUUAUUUAAAAUUUGAUAAUUUCCUGUGUAUUAAUAAAUUUAUACAGACAAGAUUAUUAUAUCUGUUUCUUCCUAGACAGAAAAUACAUCUUCUGACUUUUAUACUUUUCCAUAUGCUUUUCUGGAAUUUGCACACACACACACACACAUGCAAUUAAUAUGGUUUUUAAUCAUCCAGAUUUACCAUGAAUCUCAGCAAUCAGCCUUUUAAAGAGGUGUUCAUGAGUGAUGUACAGCUGCACACAAGGAUUUGUGCCAUGUGGCACUAUCCGUUCAAAGAAAUGCUUUAUCCUGCUGCAAGUUGUUUUCAAUGUUUUUCUAAGAACAAAAUGCUUUCUUUAUCUUUGUUAAUUUGAUCUUUCAAUAUAAUCAUUGUUCAGCUUUAGUUUUUCAUCGCCUUAGUUAUCCCCAUUAAUUUAGUCUUUUAGUAUAUUUAUUUUGUGUUGUUGUGCUGCUCUAGGUUUGUAUCCUGGUCAGAAUGUGUAUAAUUGUAGCUGACACAGAGAUUAUAUAGAGGUGGCAAGAAGAACACUCUGCACUGUACUGUAAUGUGUGUGUGUGCCUGUCAAACUGUUUAUUGAAUACUUUUGGCAACUAAAAAAAUGCUUCCAAUGUUGCUAAUGUUGAGAACCAUUGCUGUUGGUCUUAGAAAGGAAGGGGUUUUCAUAAUUAUCUUGGGGUGUUAAAAUUUCACUGAAAAAAUAUUGUUGACCAAAACGUUGGGACCGGCACCCUCGCGCCAAGGCAAACAACUAAACUGUACUGUAGCUUUGAACAAGGGGAGGAAUUUAUUAAGAUUAUUGCAUCUCUUUUUGUAAUGUCAUUUUUGCUUCUCUCUUUGUAAUGAUUAUACUACUGAUCAGUUUGUGUUGUGCUUCUUAGUAUCUUGCCAAUUCUAUUUUGCCUGGUCAAGCAUGUGCUUUUUUGCUGCCAUGUCAAGAACACAAAGCAUGCCAAUGUGUUUUAAUUUAUUUCCACUACAAUUUUUUCCUGUUGCCAAAAGUGGCGUUUCUAAAAAAAAGGAAAUGUAUGGUGUCUUUUGUGCAGGUUGGUUUGCACAAGGUGCUGUAGUUUUCAAGAUAUAUCAUGUGCUCAAAUGUUUGAACCAAAGGCUUAUGUUGUGUACCGAAAGAAUCCUGAGAAAUUUUAGAUGGUGAGUUCUAUUGGAAAUAUGUUGAUCCUUACUAUUAUUAUAUUAUCUUUUGAAUGCACAUUUCAUGCUCAAGUUUUAAAAAAAUCAUAGAAAUCUUGGUGUUUUCUUCUCUUAUUGUUCCUAAUUUUAUAGGAGACCUGGAUGACUACCUAGGAUUUAGAUGUGUUAGACCAGACCCCAAGAUAUAUCAUGCGCUCAAUGUUACAUAUAUAUUCACAUUUAGUGGAAAUGAGCAUGCAGUAAUUAACUGGACUAUAGUAGAUGGACUGAGAACAUAACAGAAAAAGUCGGGGACAGAAGGUCCCGAAGGAGAUAUUUUCGUAAUUGUAGCUUUGCAGCUCAAAUUGAGCAUCAUUGUGGCUGUAGUUUAGUGGUGAGAAUUCCACGUUGUGGCCAUGUAGACCUCGGCUUGAAUCCCAGCAGCCACACAAUUCUUUUCUCUCACUUUCUUUCUUUUUGACAGUACAUUUCUUGCAAUCUAGCAGUACUGAUUGCAUGUUAUUACUCCUGCAAGAUGAUUAGAUUAUUCUUUUCAUGCAAAAAAUCACCUCGCGCGUUAUUAAUCUGAAAUGGAUUUUAACCUGUUUUGAGCAACUUUCUAUGAUGAGAAGAAGUUAUAACAAGUGAUUUUUUCAAAAAAUAAAUAACAUGAGUGAAAUGAAGGACAUUUUCCUAUCAAGUACUCUGGAACUGUGAGCUUAUUAGAGAUUUGGAUCCUUUAAGAUCAUCGAAAAUCUUCAGGCUAAAGAGGUAUAUUGCCAAGGAGCAAUCAUAUAUGGCCAGGCCAUGCUAAGGCCAAGGACGGUGGCUGCCACCACACGGUGUCUGUCUUCUUAUUCCACUAUUUUGUCAAAUUGGAUUUGGAAUUGAAUGUGUGAACUCAGUGUUCUGGCAGAUCGGAAACAAGUUUUGUGUGCAAUGCAAUCUUUAUAUGAUACAUACCUCAUAUCAAAAACGGAUAGAUGGCUGGUUAGAGUGCUAAUUUCCUAGCAUUUAUUUCUGGAUCUGCGAUGACCAUGUUAUAAUCAUCUCCUUCAGCCACGAGGACAGGGUUAGGUUAGACAAAUUUGUUGCUCGAUUAGGAAGAGUUCUGAUCAUCUAGCUGAAAAAUUCUCCUCUUUACAUAAAUUUGACUUUUGAUUUCAAAUGCCCUACAUCUUUAGUGGGAGAAGCACAAAAGGGUUGUAGUUGAGGCGAGGCUGGGAACACAGGAUGCAUGGAUGGUGAUGUAGAGGCUUCUCACUAUGUCCAUCAUGUUUUAUUUUUUUCCUUGCCACAGUUCUAUGUAUGCGUUGGGCAGCUGAUUCAACUGGCUAAAUUUUAACCACGUCGAUUCCUCCAUGUUUUGUGACCAUAGCCUUUUUGAUUGGGUGACAAAAACAUUCUUAUCAUUAAAGUAAGUUUAGUUCUGAAAGUUUAAGUUGUAUAGGUGAGCUUGAUGAUCUUCCAUAAAAUAUUUUUUGUGAGAAGAUGGCUGGAAUCUUGGUAGAAGAAUACCAUGCUGAAAGCUGAAGAAUGCACAUAUAUAAUUUUCCCUAAAAUAACAGGAACUAUUCAAGAUUUGAGAUGUUUUUAUGAUGGUUUCAAAAAUAUGGUUACACUUUUGUUUCGUUGGCUAUGAGACUAACAAAGGGGAGCUUAUGUUGGCUAUGAGAUUAACAAAGGGGACCUUAUGUUGCCUAUGAGAUUAACAAAGGGGACCUUAUGUUGGCUGAUCAAAGUUACUCUUAACUUUUGUUUUGUUUUGAUUAACUUGGACUUUCAGUUAACAACUUCCUUUUUCCCUUUGUAGGCUCAAGCUCAAGGCAUCACUCAAAACAGAGUAAGAGAAUAAGCUGGGAAUGGUGCAGUGGUAUGAAAUUAAAAAGAAACUGAAUAUAAAGUUGAAGAGGUGGAGCCAAGCAUGUUGGCCUGCAGUCAUGCUCUAGUUUAUUUACAGGUAUUUAGAUAGUGGUUAAGUUUGCUUUUGUUUCUCUAGGUUUUUGCAUCCUUGGUCUAAAUGCCACCAUCGCGUCAUGGAAUUCUCUCCCUUUAGUGUGACAACAAGAGAAGAAAGGGUGUAAAGAAUAUAGUGUGGUCCAUUUUUGCUUAUGUCACAAUCUGCUAAACCUGGAUUCCACUAACUUAUUGCAUUACCUGCUUGACCAAAAUGUUGGAACCGGCACCCUCGUAAAAAGUAAUGUAUGGUCCUGUGUUUUAUCUCUGGUCUUAUGAAAGCACCGAGUUUAAUUCUUCCAUUAU